GACGAACGCUGGCGGCGUGCUUAACACAUGCAAGUCGAACGGAAAGGCCCUGCUUUUGUGGGGUGCUCGAGUGGCGAACGGGUGAGUAACACGUGAGUAACCUGCCCUUGACUUUGGGAUAACUUCAGGAAGCUGGGGCUAAUACCGGAUAGGAGCUCCUGCUGCAUGGUGGGGGGUGGAAAGUUUCGGCGGUUGGGGAUGGACUCGCGGCGUAUCAGCUUGUUGGUGGGGUAGUGGCUUACCAAGGCUUUGACGGGUAACCGGCCUGAGAGGGUGACCGGCCACAUUGGGACUGAGAUACGGCCCAGACUCCUACGGGAGGCAGCAGUGGGGAAUAUUGCACAAUGGGCGGAAGCCUGAUGCAGCAACGCCGCGUGCGGGAUGACGGCCUUCGGGUUGUAAACCGCUUUCGCCUGUGACGAAGCGUGAGUGACGGUAAUGGGUAAAGAAGCACCGGCUAACUACGUG
rnacentral:rRNA from 1 species